GAUGAACGCUGGCGGCGUGCCUAAUACAUGCAAGUCGAGCGAACAGAUGAGGAGCUUGCUCCUCUGACGUUAGCGGCGGACGGGUGAGUAACACUUGGAUAACCUACCUAUAAGACUGGGAUAACUUCGGGAAACCGGAGCUAAUACCGGAUAAUAUGUUGAACCGCAUGGUUCAAUAGUGAAAGACGGUUUUGCUGUCACUUAUAGCUGGUUCCGGGCCGCAUUAGCUAGUUGGUAAGGUAACGGUUUACCAAGGCAACGAUGCGUAGCCGACCUGAGAGGGUGAUAGGCCACACGGGAACUGGGACACGGUCCAGACUCCUACGGGAGGCAGCAGUAGGGAAUCGUCCGCAAUGGGCGAAAGCUUGACGGAGCAACGCCGCGUGAGAGAUGAAGGUCUUCGGAUCGUAAAACUGUGUUAUGAGGGAAGAACAAAUGUGUAAGUAACUAUGCACGUCUUGACGGUACCUAAUCAGAAAGCCACGGCUAACUACGUG
rnacentral:rRNA from 1 species